GUGAAAAAAUUAGAGUGUUCAAAGCAGGCAGAUUCAAUUUUCUGCCACCGAAUACAUUAGCAUGGGAUAAUGGAAUAGGACCCUGUCCUCCUAUUUUCAGUUGGUUUUGGCAGCGCGAGGACUAGGGUAAUGAUUAAUAGGGAUAGUUGGGGGCAUUAAUAUUUAAUUGUCAGAGGUGAAAUUCUUGGAUUUAUGAAAGAUUAACUUCUGCGAAAGCAUCUGCCAAGGAUGUUUUCAUUAAUCAAGAACGAAAGUUAGGGGAUCGAAGACGAUCAGAUACCGUCGUAGUCUUAACCAUAAACGAUGCCGACCAGCGAUUAGGAGACGUUGAAUACAAAACACCACCAUCGGCGCGGUCGUCCUUGGCGUUCGUGUUCACGCACGAGCGCGAGGGCGGUUUAGCCCGGUGGCACCGGUGAAUGACUC
rnacentral:rRNA from 1 species